CUUACUCCCUCCGUCCAAAGACUCAAUUUCUAGCUUUUUCGUGUUCAACGUUUGACUAUCCGUCUUAUAUGAAUUUUUUUUUUACGAUUAUUAUUUUCAUUGUUGUUAGAUGAUAAAAAAUAAUAAUAUUUUAUACGUGACUUAUCUUUUUAAUCUUUUUUAUAAUUUUUUUAAAUAAGACGGACAGUCAAAUAUUGUACACGGAAACCUAGGAAUUAAGUUAUUUUGGAACGAAGGGGG
rnacentral:pre_miRNA from 1 species